GAUGAACGCUGGCGGCGUGCCUAAUACAUGCAAGUCGAGCGAAUGGAUUAAGAGCUUGCUCUUAUGAAGCUAGCGGCGGACGGGUGAGUAACACGUGGGUAACCUGCCCAUAAGACUGGGAUAACUCCGGGAAACCGGGGCUAAUACCGGAUAACAUUUUGAACCGCAUGGUUCGAAAUUGAAAGGCGGCUUCGGCUGUCACUUAUGGAUGGACCCGCGUCGCAAUUAGCUAGUUGGUGAGGUAACGGCUCACCAAGGCAACGAUGCGUGGCCGACCUGAGAAGGUGAUCGGCCACACUGGGACUGAGACACGGCCGAGACUCCUACGGGAGGCAGCAGUAGGGAAUCUUCCGCAAUGGACGAAAGUCUGACGGAGCAACGCCGCGUGAGUGAUGAAGGCUUUCGGGUCGUAAAACUCUGUUGUUAGGGAAGAACAAGUGCUAGUUGAAUAAGCUGGCACCUUGACGGUACCUAACCAGAAAGCCACGGCUAACUACGUGCCAGCCGCCGCAGUAA
rnacentral:rRNA from 1 species